rnacentral:rRNA from 1 species
GAUGAACGCUGGCGGCGUGCCUAAUACAUGCAAGUCGAGCGAACAGACGAGGAGCUUGCUCCUCUGACGUUAGCGGCGGACGGGUGAGUAACACGUGGAUAACCUACCUAUAAGACUGGGAUAACUUCGGGAAACCGGAGCUAAUACCGGAUAAUAUAUUGAACCGCAUGGUUCAAUAGUGAAAGACGGUUUUGCUGUCACUUAUAGAUGGAUCCGCGCCGCAUUAGCUAGUUGGUAAGGUAACGGCUUACCAAGGCAACGAUGCGUAGCCGACCUGAGAGGGUGAUCGGCCACACUGGAACUGAGACACGGUCAAGACUACUACGGGAGGCAGCAGUUGGGAAUCUUCCGCAAUGGGCGAAAGCCUGACGGAGCAACGCCGCGUGAGUGAUGAAGGUCUUCGGAUCGUAAAAAUCUGUUAUUAGGGAAGAACAAAUGUGUAAGUAACUAUGCACGUCUUGACGGUACCUAAUCAGAAAGCCACGGCUAACUACGUG